UGUAUUUAUCACAUCACUGGAUACUGCAAGAAGCUCUAAUACUAAAAAAAAAAAAAAUAUUGCUGGAUUCUUAUAGAAACACACCAAAAUUCACAAAUUAAUUAGUAUGAUCUCAUAAAUACGUAAUUGCCUGAUGUGCUCGUAUAAAUAUAUAACCAUUGUAGAACAUUAAUUAGCCAUCUUCUAAGUUCUUCUACGCUUGCUCCUUUGGCAUUAAUAUAGCCAAGAAUACACCGUGGUACUUUUGGCUUGUUGUUGUUCAAGAUUUGCCUAAUAUAUAUAUAUAUAGAGAGAGAGAUAAUCUUUUUUUACUGCAGGUGGACUCAUUUUUUUUCCAUGCGGACAUGUUUUUAAAUCAUAAAAUUUAAUAGAGCUAGAUUUUAAUAAUACUAUCAAAACACACGAUUUAAGAACGUACCCACAUUUAAAAAGAAUACAGGUGCUCACACCUAAGAAUGAUUAUAUAUAAAUAUAAAUACACACACACAUCAUACAUCCUCCAUUUCCCAAAUUCUUUAAGUUAGUCUUACAUAAGGAUUUACUUUUACUUAUUAUUAUUAAUGCCUCAUGGUUUUUUUUUCUUAACAAAUCACCGUAACUGAGAAUAUAAGUUAAAGUGAGAGCCACAUGUUUGUUAGAUGUGCUCAACCUUCUAGUUCUUCGACCGAUCGUUGAUACAGAAAUACAAUGCACUCCCAAAAGGGAACAAAGACACAGCUUUUGUAUUUCUUGUCAUCACAUUUGGCCAACCUUUUCCUCUACUUCGUAGAUGCAUAAUUGCCUGACUUGCCCUUAUGAACGCAUAACAGUCAAAAGCACUAGUUCUUCUAUAUAUGCUUGUUGUCUUGCCAUGAAUGCAAAUAAGAAAAUGGCGUGGCCCCUUUACUACGUUGUUGAUUAAUAUCUUCCUCAAUCUAAUGCAUCCUCGAUUCAUCUUGAUUAUUCUUAUGUAAUAUAUCUAAAAAGAUUUAUUUCCCCAAAUUCGUUUAAUUAGUCUGAAAUAAGAAUUUUUUUUUUUAAUUAACAUAAUUCAAAAUAUAAGUUUAAGGUGAGUAUCAUAUAUGUAUACUAUAAGUGCUCAACCUCUUUCUCUAACUCUUAGAAUGAUCCUCGAUCAAAACAAAAUGAACCCCCCAAAAGCUAAUAAAGAUACAAUUUUUGUAUUUAUUGUCAUCACAUUUGGCUAGCCUCUUCCUCUAGCUCUUAGAACAAUCCUUAAUCCUAAAACACACAACGAAUCCCCAAAAUGAGAGCAAAGACAGUCCUUGAUCCUAAAACACAUUAAACCCCUGAAAGGAAACAAAAACAAACAUUGUGCAUUAAUCCCAUAUUCACUUGAAAGAAUAAUAGCGUAGAACUUCUUUGUUGUAAGAUCAAACAUAAAAGUUGCACAAACAUAAAGGUCCAACAUCCUCAAAUAUAUCUUAGAGAUCAUAUGCAGUAAUUUCUAAAUUUAUAUAAGAAAUAUAAUUCCCAAAUAUCAUAGAAAUGUAUAUCUUAAACACAUCUACAAUUUUCUAACAACUUUGUUACUUGAGUGAUAAAAAUCAAGAAAAAGCUUUGCCAUUCGCUCUUCAAUCUCAAAUGGCUAUGAAAAUGGGGAGCGAGCUCUCAUUUCUUUUAUCCAUUAAUAGUUAUGGUUUUCUUGCUAGUGGGCUUUGUUGGGCUCAAUUGGGCUUGACGUAAAGCAAUUUACAAACUAGGCCCAAUAAUGAUCCAAAACCCAAACUCAAGUAAGUCCAAACACUAAUAUGAUUAAUAUGCAUAAUGAUAUUAUUGGUUGUAUUAAUAAUA
rnacentral:lncRNA from 1 species